UCUACGUAGCAGAGUUUGAUCCUGGCUCAGAACGAACGUUAGCGGCGCGCUUAACACAUGCAAGUCGAGCGAGAAAGGGGCAACCCCGGUAAAGCGGCGCACGGGUGAGUAACACGUAGGUAAUCUACCCUCCGGUGGUGGAUAACCUUCCGAAAGGAAGGCUAAUACAGCAUGGGACCACGGCUUCGAAAGGAGCUGAGGUGAAAGUCGGUCUCUUCAUGAAAGCCGACGCCAGGGGAUGAGCCUGCGGCCCAUCAGCUAGUUGGUAGGGUAAUGGCCUACCAAGGCGAAGACGGGUAGCUGGUCUGAGAGGAUGAUCAGCCACACUGGAACUGAGACACGGUCCAGACUCCUACGGGAGGCAGCAGUGGGGAAUCUUGCGCAAUGGGCGAAAGCCUGACGCAGCGACGCCGCGUGAGUGAUGAAGGCCCUCGGGUUGUAAAGCUCUGUGGAGGGGGACGAAUAAGCGGGGAUAAUACCCCCCGUGAUGACGGUACCCCCUU
rnacentral:rRNA from 1 species